UCUGGAUGGUGUGACCAUCUCCACGGUGAAGCUACCGGCGCAGGGACAAGAGACAGAAGACGGAGCUAACGCAGUCGCCGCUGGCUGGGGCAAACUGUCGUACGAAUAUGGAAACGAUACGCUGGCACCAUGGCUUCAGAAAACCAACGUAACCAUCAUCAACAACCAGGAGUGUCAGAUCGGCUACAAGUUUAAUGGUAUACUGCCGCAGCACAUUUGCGCAGGAGACCGUUAUUCUGGGACUUGCGGAGGAGAUUCUGGAGGACCUCUGUAUGUGAACGAGCAGCUUGUGGGUAUAUUCUCAUUCGCUCGCUACUGUGCUGGCCUCUUACCGCCGGGAGUUUACACCAGGGUUCCCGUGUUUGUCGACUGGAUCAAACAAAACGCACAGUAAUGAAUGGCCUCCAAACUAUUAAUGAAGGAGAAAUAUGUA